rnacentral:rRNA from 1 species
AUUGAACGCUGGCGGCAGGCCUAACACAUGCAAGUCGAGCGGAUGAGAGGAGCUUGCUUCUCGAUUCAGCGGCGGACGGGGGAGUAAUGCCUAGGAAUCUGCCUGGUAGUGGGGGACAACGUCACGAAAGGAAAGCUAAUACCGCAUACGUCCUACGGGAGAAAGCAGGGGACCAUCGGGCCUUGCGCUAACAGAUGAGCCUAGGUCGGAUUAGCUUGUUGGUAAGGUAAUGGCUCACCAAGGCGACGAUCCGUAACUGGUCUGAGAGGAUGAUCAGUCACACUGGAACUGAGACACGGUCCAGACUCCUACGGGAGGCAGCAGUGGGGAAUAUUGGACAAUGGGCGAAAGCCUGAUCCAGCCAUGCCGCGUGUGUGAAGAAGGUCUUCGGAUUGUAAAGCACUUUAAGUUGGGAGGAAGGGGUGUAGAUUAAUACUCUGCAAUUUUGACGUUACCGACAGAAUAAGCACCGGCUAACUCUGUGCCAGCAGCCGCCGCGAUAA